rnacentral:rRNA from 1 species
UACGAAGGGGGCAAGCGUUGUUCGGAAUUACUGGGCGUAAAGGGCGCGUAGGCGGUGCUCUAAGUCAGGCGUGAAAGCCCUGGGCUCAACCCGGGAAUUGCGCUUGAUACUGGAGCGCUUGAAUCCAGGAGAGGUUGGUGGAAUUCCCAGUGUAGAGGUGAAAUUCGUAGAGAUUGGGAAGAAACACCGGUGGCGAAGGCGGCCAACUGGACUGGUAUUGACGCUGAGGCGCGAAAGCGUGGGGAGCAAACAGG